rnacentral:misc_RNA from 1 species
GGGGAAUUGGAGCUUAUUAAGAUGUCACUGCAUUUUGUAUUCACCAAGAACAUAUGAAAGAUCUUGAACCGCCAGAAUUUGACCCUGAGUGUCUGAUAAAUGAGAAGCAACUAGCAGUAUGGUGGAAUUUUUCUUUCACUGAAUCCUGAAUGGGAGAUUUGGUUUAUUGUGAUAUAGAUGAACCCUAGAAAAUUUAUAAUCUGCUUUUCCACCGUGGUUUCAUAUGUUACUGUUUGUGUACCAUACAUUAGAGAGUUAUC